rnacentral:rRNA from 1 species
GACGGAGGGGGCAAGCGUUGUCCGGACUCACUGGGCGUAAAGGGCUCGUAGGCGGCCAACUAAGUCGGAUGUGAAAUCCCCAGGCUUAACCUGGGAACUGCAUCCGAUACUGGAUGGCUUGAAUCCGGGAGAGGGAUGCAGAAUUCCAGGUGUAGCGGUGAAAUGCGUAGAUAUCUGGAGGAAUACCGGUGGCGAAGGCGGCAUCCUGGACCGGCAUUGACGCUGAUGAGCGAAAGCUAGGGGAGCAAACGGG